UCGAGAAUCUUCGGCAAUGGGCGCAAGCCUGACCGAGCGACGCCGCGUGCGGGAUGAAGGCCCUCGGGUUGUAAACCGCUGUCAGUUGGGAGGAAAUCACAUGGGGUUCUCUCCAUGUGUUGACCUAUCUUCAGAGGAAGGACGGGCUAAGUUCGUGCCAGCAGCCGCGGUAAGACGAACCGUCCAAACGUUAUUCGGAAUUACUGGGCUUAAAGGGUGCGUAGGCGGCUUCGCAAGUUGGGUGUGAAAUCCCUCGGCUCAACCGAGGAAUGGCGCCCAAAACUGCGGAGCUCGAGGGAGACAGAGGUGAGUGGAACUUGUGGUGGAGCGGUGAAAUGCGUUGAUAUCACAAGGAACACCGGUGGCGAAAGCGGCUCACUGGGUCUCUUCUGACGCUGAGGCACGAAAGCUGGGGGAGCGAACGGG
rnacentral:rRNA from 2 species